rnacentral:rRNA from 1 species
UGGGGAAUUUUGCACAAUGGGGGAAACCCUGAUGCAGCGACGCCGCGUGAUUUAGAAGGCCUUCGGGUUGUAAAAAUCUUUUUUACGGGAUGAAAAUGACAGUACCGUAAGAAUAAGGUCCGGCUAAAUACGUGCCAGCAGCCGCGGUAAUACGUAUGGACCGAGCGUUGUCCGGAAUCAUUGGGCGUAAAGGGUACGUAGGCGGGCUAGUAAGUUAGAAGUGAAAUAAUAUAGCUCAACUAUAUAAAGCUUUUCAAACUGCUAGGCUUGAGAGAUGGAAGGGAAAGUGGAAUUACUAGUGUAGCGGUGAAAUGAGCAGAUAUUAGGAAGAAUACCGGUGGCGAAGGAGACUUUCUGGUCAUCAUCUGACGCUGAGGUACGAAAGCGUGGGUAGCAAACAGG